rnacentral:misc_RNA from 1 species
AUUCCCUUCAUCGAAGGUCGACUUGGCGAGGAAUUCAGCUCAUUGUGCAACAUGAAGAUUCUUAUUGUUUUGCUAGCGACCAUGUUGGUUUGUUCAGCUAACUCUGGGGAAAGAGAGAGGAACUCAGAAGUACUGGACUCAAAAGUACUGGACUCAGGCUUAGUUCGAGAGAGCCGUUCAUGUGGUGACAGGUUUCCCUUCCAAGCCUGUAGCAUAGCUCGGCGUGUGCGUGCUCACUGCAAAAAGCUGUACUACAAAAUUGGCUGCAGACGAAUGUGCGGACUCUGUUGAUGGUUUUGAACUGGCGAGACUGGUGUGAGCCAAGAUGACAAGCCGGAGUGUUCUUUAUGAAGCGAUUAUUUCAUUGGUACACAAUGUAUCUGUUAAAAACAUUCUUCAAGGGCAAUAAAAAUUUGAAA